CCUAUCUUUAUACACCCUUAUAUUCACGUAACUCUACUUGCUCGGUUUUAGGUUGGGGUGACCGCGGAGCACAACAAAACCUCCACGAAAAAAGGACCAACAAUCCUUAUCCAAGAUGCACAUAUCUAAGAAUUAAUAUAUUAACUUUUAAUGAUCCGUUAUUCGAUCAACGAACCAAGUUACCCUGGGGAUAACAGCGCAAUCUACCUCGAAAGCUCCUAUCGACAGGUAGGUUUACGACCUCGAUGUUGGAUCAGGGUAUCCCAGUGGUGCAGCAGCUACUAAAGGUUCGUUUGUUCAACGAUUAAAACCCU
rnacentral:rRNA from 1 species